CUGUUCUGUCUGUUUCCACAUUAAAAUCCCAUUCCAACACUGUCAAAAAUCUAAGAAAAUUAUGGAUAGCUGUAUACUGAAAGAUGGGCAAUUCAAGGCCAGGGAGUAUGGAGAAACAUUUUUGUGAACUUCAUUUUUAGCUGUGUUCCUUAAUCACAUCUAGAAUUGUGAUGUUUGUAAUGUUGUAAUAUUGUAAAUCACUUACUCAUAGGAAAUUCAAGACCAGGUAUAUCAGGGUAAGAAUAUGUGCAUAUGCUCUUUAUUUAAGUCUCAGUGCAAUCUGGAAUCCAUAGCAUAUUAAAAAAAAAUUUAAAAAAAUUAGUUCAGUACAGAUGGCAAAAUCUGCAUCUUAUUUUCUUUUCUCACUAGAUACCGUACCAUAAAGCCAGGAAAGUUGGAAUGAGGAAAAACUGAAGAGGUUCUCCCAUGUUAUUUCUCAUGACAUCCUGCAUUCACUAAAGGUUUCUGAAGCCACCAUGCUCUGUGCAUCUAAACAUACAGUCUCAUGCCUGUCACAGGACAUAGAUGCUCACAUAUUCAGACAACCCAAUGCCAGAUAUGGAAAACACAUCUUAAGAGACCUCAACUACUACGUGCACGUAAAAAUAAAUAGACUAUUUAGCAGAGAAGCCAUAAAUCCAAAGCAUUUGGCAUCAUAUUUAUGCUUCCUGGUGAGAUCUCAUACAUCUUAAAGACUAUGCUGAAUAGAGUGGAAACAAUGCCUUUUGCUACAGUAGGAUUCCAAAGACCAGGCUCUGUGAAAGACUGGUGAGAACCUCAUCAAGAAGAAGACAGCAAGUCAGACGGAAUUCACUUGUCUUCAGGAUUAUCCAAACUCUCCAGGAGUUCUAAAGAGUUUUAUUCUUAUGUUUGGUUGGUUUUGUUGCUUUUACAUUUAGGAAAAUCCAUAUAUUCAAAUUCCUACAGAGAUUUGCUAAAAGUAGCUCAGUGGUAGGUUGUCAAACUGAAAGAUAUAAAGGUUCUCCUAGAGAACCAUAAUCCAUGAAAUGAAUAUCCAGUUGCCAUACCUGUCAUGUAUCACCCAGGUUGCUACUUUAUAUAA
rnacentral:lncRNA from 1 species